rnacentral:rRNA from 1 species
AGCGAACGCUGGCGGCAGGCUUAACACAUGCCAGUCGAGCGGGCAUCCUUGUGGUGUCAGCGGCAGACGGGUGAGUAACGCGUGGGAACGUGCCCUUCGGUUCGGAAUAACUCAGGGAAACUUGAGCUAAUACCGGAUACGCCCUUUUGGGGAAAGGUUUACUGCCGAAGGAUCGGCCCGCGUCUGAUUAGCUAGUUGGUGAGGUUAUGGCUCACCAAGGCGACGAUCAGUAGCUGGUCUGAGAGGAUGAUCAGCCACACUGGGACUGAGACACGGCCCAGACUCCUCCGGGAGGCAGAGGUGGGGAAUAUUGGACAAGGGGGGAAACCCUGAUCCAGCAAGGCCGGGUGAGUGAUGACGGCCUUGGGGUUGAAAAGCUCUUUUCCCCGGGAGGAUAAGGAGGGUACCGGAGGAAUAAGCCCCGGCUAACUCCGUG